AAGUCGUAACAAGGUUUCCGUAGGUGAACCUGCGGAAGGAUCAUUAACAAAAUAUAUGGUAAAGUGGUGAUUGUCUUGUGCAAUCAUUGCUGAUGCCAAACAACCUUUGUGAAUAGGGUUUAUGCAGGGAUUUAAAGGAAUUAAUUUCAUUUAAUGAAGAGCAUAGGCUUAGAUGGGGUGGGAUAUCAGUGCGAAACUAUGUGGCUUGGCUGGCUGGCUGAUUAAAUUCUGACAGACAGACAGACACUUAGUGGACCACUUAUUUUAUUUUAUAGUCUAAUAUGAUUGUCGAAAGACAAACAACAAUACAACUUUUAACAAUGGAUCUCUAGGCUCUU
rnacentral:misc_RNA from 1 species